UGUCUUUCUUUAUAUUUUUAUUUCUAUCUUUAGGGUUCAAUUGGAUGAUUCAAAAUUGAAAGUCGCCAUAAUCCUUUUUGACCAAAUAAAACAAAAGGUUACCUUUGAUACCUUCUUGUUCCUUCUUCAUAUUCAAUUUCAAUAUAUUCAUCGGCUAGACUCAUUUAAAGUUCAGCUCAAAGUAUAUGUAUUUUUUCUUUUUCUUGAUUUUUUUCUUUGAAUUUUUUAAUGAUCAUGGUAUCUGGACCAAUUUACGCGCAAAAUAACUAAAUUUUGUAAAAAAAAAAAUUUGGCUUUGGAGUUAUUUGGGAAGAUUGGAAUAUUUGUAUCGUUUUGAUAUGUUUAUGAGUUUUGUUCAUGUGGGGUAUUAGCUAUAGUUAGGAAUUUUGCCUUGAAUUUGUGAAUUUGGGAUUCUGAAUCUUAUUAGAUUCAUAUCUUUUCCUCUUUUUGAAAUUUCCUUGGAAAAUAACCCUUCUUUUUCUCUAAGAAAAUUGGGGUUUUUUCUUUGCAUUUGUUUCUGGAAUUUAUUGUGAAGUCAUAGAACAUAAACUUGUGUUAUCAUAAUCUUGUGAAAAUAUUUUCAGUUUGUUUUGGUGAGAGUAUAGUCUCAAUUUUAGCUGCAUUUUGUUGUGAUCUUUUACUGAUUUUGCCACAAAAAUUGAUGAAAAGUUACUUUAAAUUAAAGUAUUGACCAAAGAUAACUGGUUGGGUCUAAAUCCUUUAAUUUGAAAUAAAUAUUACCUGUUAAACCAUUUAGUUGUUAACACUUUGCUUUGCUCCAUAAUUUUGGCAGUUGGUUUGCUUUGAAUUAUUUAUACUUAAGGUAUGUGAUCAGAGGUCAUGAAUCAUUAUUGUACAAACUGUUUUUCGUUUGGAUUAUCCUUGUCAAAAAUAAUUAUUGCCUUAUUAUCAUCUUUUAUGUUAAUGUAAAUUGUCUUCGAGCUCAAGUAUCUAUCUCUAUUAGUGGAUUAUGUGAAAAUUUUGAUUGAGUGGCAGUAAUUUUGACAACCUCCAGAUACAAUUUUUGUCUUCUGUCCACUUUCACAUGUUAUUGCAGCUUGUUAAUUACUUUAUUUUGGAGAAGGAGCUAUGCGAACUAGAGGUGAAAACAGGAUGGUUAUUCAACAACAUGAUGAUGCAGAUACGCGACCUUAUAUUGAACAAUUGAUGAAUGGACUGAACUGAUCUCAAGUACAAACACAUGAUAUUCAAUCUAAUAAAAUGAAUAAUUCUACCGAUACUAAGGUUCAACAGAAUGAUGAAUCAGGUAGUUCAGAGGAAAGAAAGGUUUGUGGACCCACAAUAUUAAAAGAUAUCCGGAAACUGCCACCAGGGAAUACAAUUGCUAUACAAUUCAAUAAUCGUAACCAACCAUAAGAAAAGAGGGUCGAAAGCUUGCUAGAUUUCUAGGCAUAAUCGCUAGAUCUCCAGAACUAACACCUCUAAAAAUAGAUGAUUGGAGAAACUUUGCCAAAGAUGAAAAGAAGAAACUGGUCGAGUUUGUGAAGAAGAAGUUCUCUAUCCCAACUCGUGGAGAAGCAUAUGUCAUAAAGUCAACAAGAAAGAAAUGGAAAGAUUACAAAUAUGACUUGAAAAAUGUGUAUACGACAAAAUAUAAGACGAAAGAUGCUUUGCUAAGAAAUAAACCAAGUCGUAUACCAUGAGAUCAAUGGACCGGUCUGGUCUCUUAUUGGCUUUCUGAUAAAGCGAAGGCUGAAAAUGGGGUAAAGCUUACAUGAGCACACAUUUUCAUAUUAACUCAUAAACAACGUAAGGAUGGUAGGCCACUGGAUGCUGAGUCUGCAAGGACAAUCGUCAUUAUGAACUAUUUCCAAUCAGAUUGAAGAUGUUGGCAGCAAUAGCAAUAAAGCUUGUCAGAACAGCCUGAACAAUCAUGACCACUGUGAUUAUCUUGUCUUUCCUUGAAGAUAAACCAUGGACAUCUCUGCAAAAAAUGAAUUAAAAUGUUCACCACAGAAAAAGAAUAAAUAAAGGCCUUAGAGCAAUUGCACCUGGCAGCAUGUGGUUGUUAGGUAGGUGGCCAAACGACCAAGUUGAGUUCAUUGGGCCUUAUCAGUCGAUAGGCUCACUGGGCCGGUAGAGGCACCCCGACUAUCUGAGUAUAACUUCAACAUUGAUGGCCUGAUCAGUGGACUAUUUGGACAGUUCUCAACUUGUUCAAGCAUUGUCUUAUCACCUGUAGCAGCUACACUAUCCAAAACAUCAACACAUUCAAGUUCUUACCUCUCAUCAUGCACAACAAUAGAUUUAAAGCCUGCUGGUUUUCAACUAGUUCAGCACGUGAAAUAGUUGCAUCAGUCAUAGUGUUAAUCUGUCCCCGUCCAUUAUUAAGUUGUUGCAUAGCUUUAUUACCUACGACAAACUUGAGUAUAUCGUUGAUCUGAAAUACGAUUAGCAGUAGGGUUUUUAUAAACCUAUUUUUCCCCAUCGCAAACCUGAGAAACCCUAUUCAAAGUUGUAGUUUUAGAGCCUGCUAUUUUUUCAAACAAUUCAGCAGGUACAACAACUGGUUGAUCAUGUACAUGCACCAACUGUUGUUGAACAAUAAUCUCAGUAGGGAAUUCCAAAACCUUUGUACCAUUUGUUGCCUUAGGAUCCUUCAAAUCAGCAGCUUGUUCAGUAGAUGAUUGAGCUCGAUUCCCAUUAGGAGUCGGAGCAUAAAGUACCUGCUGUCCAGCUGCAUAUAUUGAGAGUACCAUCUUUUAUCUUUCUCAUAUGUUGAUAGUUGUAUCUUAGAUUGUUCAUGUUCCUUAGUGAUCAGCUGUCUAGCUGCAUUAACGUAUUGCUCAGCAUCUAUAGUUAUAGAAGUCCUAGUUAAAUUUCGAUCAACCACAGGUACUGUUGCAUUCUUCAAAACAUGAGAACCCCUAACUACAGUAGCGUCAACAGGGCCUGUAGAAGAACUAGAACCAGUUGUUAUUCUCAAGAUGCCUCUCCAACAGAAUAUAAUAUAUGUCCAAGUUCUUUUCCUUUCACUCCUUCCCUUUUAUUGUUCUUCGAAACUAUUAUUGGCUUGCUAUAUGCACACAUAACAAAUGUGACUUCCAAUCUUGUAUGGCAAGGCGUAAUGUGUGGUUUGGGGUAAGCAUCUUGUGCUGCAGUCUCUGUUUCAUCACAGGUGACACAUUAUGUCUGUUAACCCAUGCCUUCACUGCUCUAUGCUCAUAUGUAAAGAGAUCAGCUGCUAUAUGUGGGUUUUCCAUUACUUCUUGCAAAGAUGUCGCGUGAUAAUAGACAAGGAAGCAGAAUGAGAUGCAUGUUAGUAGAGAAAAGGACUUUAUAAAUUAGCAGGUCAUCUCCUGGAAUUUGAAUUCUCACCUGAAGGAUUGGACAGAAGUACUGGCUAGGUUCCUGGAUAAGGUCAUGCAGUCUGAUGAUCGAUAAUUUAGCCGGUGGAAGAUUUCAAAAUGAUGAAGCAUUACAAAAAUUAUUUGAAGACCAUUAUUUGUUAGGAUUAGUUAUAUAAUGACAAUGCUACUUGCUUCAAUGUCACGACCCAAUUCCCGAACCCGGUCGUGAUGGCGCCUCUCUUGAAAACAAGGCCAGCCAGUCUAACCCAAUUCAUCUUUUAAAGCAGUUAAUUAACACAAAUAUAGAUAAUAAUGUGGAAGUCCAGCCCGACACAGUCCUAACCGGGCUGUCACAAGUCACGAGCAUCUAUAAGAAUGAAAUUUCCACUUUA